rnacentral:rRNA from 1 species
CCCCGGGAAACUGGGAAUAAUACCCUAUAGGUUACAGGUGCUGGAAUGCUCUGUAACCGAAAGUUCCGGCGCCUUAGGAUGGAUCUGCGGCCGAUUAGGUUGUUGUUGGGGUAACGGCCCAACAAGCCAGUAAUCGGUACGGGUUGUGGGAGCAAGAGCCCGGAGUUGGAUUCUGAGACACGAAUCCAGGCCCUACGGGGCGCAGCAGGCGCGAAAACUUUACAAUGCGGGCAACCGUGAUAAGGGAACCUCGAGUGCCUGUAUAUGCAGGCUGUCUGGGUGUCUAAAACACACCCAAAGAAAGGGCCGGGCAAGACCGGUGCCAGCCGCCGCGGUAAUACCGGCGGCUCGAGUGGUGGCCACUUUUAUUGGGCUUAAAGCGUUCGUAGCUGGGUUGUUAAGUCUCUUGGGAAAUCUGACGGCUUAACCGUCAGGCGUCUAAGAGAUACUGGCAAUCUUGGAACCGGGAGAGGUGAGGGGUACUUCGGGGGUAGGAGUGAAAUCCUGUAAUCCUCGAGGGACCACCUGUGGCGAAGGCGCCUCACCAGAACGGCUUCGACAGUGAGGGACGAAAGCUGGGGGAGCAAACCGGAUUAGAUACCCGGGUAGUCCCAGCCGUAAACGAUGUGCGUUAGGUGUAUCGGUGACCACGAGUCACCGAGGUGCCGAAGGGAAACCGUGAAACGUACCGCCUGGGGAGUACGGUCGCAAGGCUGAAACUUAAAGGAAU